ensembl:lncRNA
AGGUUUUUGAACAUAUUAAUAUUUAUUUAGCCCAGGAUUCAUCCCACCCUACAUUUGCCUGAGGUGUCUGACUCUGGAGCACAGACAUCCUCGGGCUCCCUCUGUUGAUGAUGCAGCGAAGCACCUGCAGAAGGUGACCCAGCUCUCAGUGACCCUCAGAUCACUUGGCCGCCACCAGACUCCUGAUGGACAUUUUCACAGCCAUUAAUUGAAUUAUUGACAAGAGAAAAAAUGCUCCACUGUGAAGCCAGCCUGCCUUGACCCUCCACCUGCCUUGAAGGAGAGAAGAGCAGCACAUGAAAUAUCUCAUUACCAGGGUGAAGGUAAUCCUCAGCUGAGAGGGGCCUCGUGAGCCAUCUGCUGGGCUCCCACAUCAGGGCCAGCUCCUCUGCCACUGACAGAGAUGUGGGAGGUUGUUUUGUGGCUUCUCUGCAGGAAAGACAUUUGAGCUAUGCAGAGAACUUGCAGCCAAAUUCCCCUGGGAGCACAGUGCAUGGACUUGGGUGUUCAAAAUGAAUAGGACACUCUGGAGAGAGAGGGGACACUUUGCUGCUGCACCACGUGUGCUGGGUUGGUCUGCCAGCACUGGAGACCUAAGGAGACACUCUCAGCAGGAUCCCAGAGCUAAGGACAGGCAGAGGAUGUGCCUCAGAGCAUGUGGUCUCUGAUGCUAAUGAAGUUGCUGCUUUGUUUGCUGCCUCCACUGAAUUUUUGUCUCUUUUCCACCAAGGACACCACUGUUCAUCCUGUGGAGCAUGAGGAACUUCAUGAAAGCUUCUUGUCAGCUUUCCCCAUGAUUUUCUUGGAUUGAGCCCAUUUUCUUCUUCUUAGAAGAACACAAAGUGGGGAGAGGUGUAUCUUCUGCACACCUGCUGGAGCAGACAUGAACAGGAGAAGACAGGUCAAGAGACAGAGUCCAGCCAAGCCUGAGGUUCCUCAGAUGUGAACAGAGAAGGGAAGAUGUGCUUUAAAAGAGAAUAAUGGAAUCAUUAAGAUUGGAAAAGACCUCUAAGAUCAUUGAGUCCAGCCACUAACCUAACACUGCCAGGGCCACCACUAAACCAUGUCCCAUAGAACCACACCUACAUGCUUUUUCAGAACUUCCAGGAACUGUUACUCCACCAUUCUCUGGACAGGCUGUUCCAGUGCUUCAGCAUCCUUUCAGUAAAGAAAUUUUUCCUAAUAUCCAAUUGAAGUCUUAAUUGGUAUCUUCUGGGCUUGUUCUUUCUCUCGUGUUCUUGAUAUCAUGGGAGUGUUCAGAGUCUAGAAUGGGGAUGAUGUGUCCUGAGUUGCUCAGACAAGUUAGACCAACACUCUGCCACAGGAGUUGUGUGCAAGGCUUUUGGGACAAUGGGAGAAGAAGCUUCUUUGAAAGCAAGCAAGCAGUUAUGUGCCUAAUGAGCCCAAAGUCUGCCUGGCAUCCCUUACUGUAACAGUCUGGCAUCUCUUACUGCAACAGCCUGCAAAUCAUUAUCGGUAUUUUUAGGUCCCUGACAGCUCUAACAACCUGGCUAGGGCUGCCUAAAUCAAUACUGAAAAUGAGAAUCAGGUCCUUUAGUCACACCAACACAAUUCAUCCUACCUGAUCUACCCCGGUGCAGUUAAGCCUUUAGCUGCAGCAACAGCUCAGAGCUGACUGUGUGCCUGGGGCAGAAGGACACACGGCCAGAAGGUGAUUUUCCUCUUCCCAGGAUGUGUAUCCAGGUCAGGACUGACAUAUGACCUGCUGGAGUGUCUUUUCUCUGUCCUUUGUGAAGCAGCCUUGAAGAUUUCAGCUGUCUCAAAGUGGGGUGUGGGUUUAAGGCUCGCAGCUUGUAGGUGGAUAAAAUUAGAUAAAGUGAACCUUCCACAUAGAUACUGCUACAAGAUUUACCCUGUGUUUUAAAAUAGUUCUGCAUAAAUAACGCUGGGGAAUGACACAACCCAGGUCUACAAGGCAUUAGCACUCUUGGGCACGCUGCACAUUUCACAGGGAAUGCUGUUAGCAGCAGGGAAAAGGCCACGCCAGACCUUCACAUCUAAGCAUGCUCAAGUUGCAGAAAAAUCUGGAUCUGGAGGAGGAUCUGAAGUUUCCUUCUGACCUUUAUCUUCACAAGGAGCCAAACCAUUCUGUCUAGCAUUGCUGAGCCUAUAGUUCCCUAACUACUUCAAUCCAGCUGCUUCAACCCUGGGUCCACCUCAGCUACAAGUGGCUCCAGAUGAGUAAUUCUGAUCUUUAUGAAUAUGCAGCUCACAGUGCUUCUGCAGGGCUCUCCUAGACCUCAUCUUCUAUACUUUGGAUUCAACAGAGAACAAUCUGGCCUCUAGUAUACCCUGGAUUAUGUUUAUAGAAGAGAUGUGGUGCAAAAUGUCCAUACAAAGAUAUUAGCUGGCAGAAUGGCCCCAGCAACAUCAACAUUUGCUAGGGAGAUGCUGCAUGGAGGGAAUGGACAUCUACUGCUGUAUUGCUGUGCCUUCCUCAGCCACCACUCUUCCUCUGAGAGAUGCUAAUGGCAUGUUUUACCCCUCACAAGUAAAUCACAUUUGUAAACAAUAAUUAAUACUAAUAAUUUUUUAAAAAUUCAACCACUGUCAUGAACUCAUUUCACUUUGCAGGCAGGGGACACUUGAGGGUGUGUGAUUACAAGUACUUGGACACAGGGUGUAUCUUCUAACCAUGCCCUUGGAGGAUCCAAAUGCUGCCCACAUUAUUCCCAGCUGUUUGUACACACCAUGGAUGCCAAGGACAGCACAUGGAAGUUUUCACCUGUAAACCCACACCCCAGAUGUGGUAAGGAGUUCCUCUCACCCAGGUUGUUCUUGUAGACGUCUCCACUCUUUCCAUGGUCUCUGUUUUGCAUCCCCCUGAAAAUACUUCUCUCACCAUUUUUCUGGUGUUUCAAGUGCUUUCAGGUUUUUUAGGUUUGCUUUGUGAGGGGUCUGACCCCACAAACCAUGAGAGAUUGCACUGCUGGUGGCUGAGCCAUCCCAUGUGGCAAAGCACUGAUGCAGAAGUACACUCGGGUUUGCAUUUUGUAUUGGUAUUAGUAAAUCCUUGCUGAGAACCUCAUAUUUUUCCCAACUGCUAUAGGCUGACAGGAGGUGGGAAAGGCCUGGAGCAAAGGAAAAAAUAUGUAUCCCUCCUUGUGAAAGGUCUUCAAGGACUGAGGGGGAAUACCUGGAAAGGCGAGUGGCUGUGGUGCAGCUGCAGUCUGCCCAGGGGAGGAGAUGGGACAGGUUUGCUGAUUUAUUGGGGUCUGAGCAUGAAGUUUGCAAGACUGGUGCUGUGCCAUAGGCAAGAAACCUCCCAGCCCUGGGCUGCUGCACUGGCAGGUGUGACAGGUAACACAAACACAUACAAACACUUCUUGAACGAGGCUGUGCCUCUCCUUGGAGCUCUGGUGUAGGACCACAGAGGUUUUCCCUUUUUAGAAUCAUGGGGUAAAGGACUUUAUGGCGUAACAAGACUGUCCUGAGAUGCAGAGGAGGUCACAGAAGAGAGUUUGCCAUCUGUCCCUGGAGUUAUUUAACACAAGCGUGUCUGUAGAUGUAGAGAGCACAAAUAGACUGAGGAAAUUACAAGUGCUCCACACUGUAAAUCCAGGGCUGCUCCUCUGUUUCCCUGCAUACAGCCAGGGUCGAAUCCUUCUCCUUGCUGCUUUAAUUUAAUAUUCCUUGCAAUAGGCUGUUCCCCUUAAUGUGCCUAAUGUAAAACAUGCUUGUUUGCUGACUGCAGGAGUCUCUGGCUCGGGCUGCCCUGCACGUCGCCGUGGAGUCUGAUGCUGGGGAGGGUAAUGACUCUGGGAAGUUUGACACUGAAAUGACAUAUUGGGAGUAUUUACUGGGCAGAGCAAGGGAGAGGAAUUAUUUUGUUGUCAGUGAUUAGAUCUGGGCUGGCUCGAAACACAGAGUAACACUUGCUAUUAGACUGGAGGAUGCUAAUUUUUAGGAAACAAAAGUGGAUCCUUUCCUAGAUGGCUACAUUUACAGACAUAUUUGUGUUCCCUUUUAAUAAAGUCAAAGCAAGUAUGUCUGCCCCGUGCUGAAAGUCCGGGCCUUUUUCCCAAACACAGGCUCACAACCUCAAGCAGGGUUUGUAGGACAUCCAAGGAAGCACAACAGGAUCCCACUGGCAGGAGGGGGGGGCUCCCCACUGGAAAUUUCAAACUGGAAUCUUGGUCCCCAGGGCAGAGGCUGGCCUUGGAAAGGGCAAGCAGUGUUUCCAGACGCAGUAGAAUGAACUCAUCUGUCAUUGACAUUUUUUAAUUGUUUUCUGAGGUUUACUGUGGAUCUUUUAAUCGGGAGUGAUCCCAACCUUGCUGCUGUGCUGUGGGUGGCAUGUGUCCCUGGUCCCCUGCUGUCCAGGCUGGGGACAGGCUGCCUUGUAAGGACAUCAGAAAUCUCCACCCUUGAGGGGGAAAUGUCCCUGUUCCUGAUGGGCAAUGAAUCGAAAUGCAAGGAUGUGUCCCCUUGGGCUGUGGUGUCACAACCAUAUAAACACUCUUAAAGACCGUCACUUCUGACUGUUUUUUGGUCAUUCUAGUGGAUUGCUGAGAUCAUCCAGGUGAUAAAGCCUCUCUUUUUUCUUUUUUUCCUACUAAAUGAGGCUUUCCCCCUAAACCACAUCCAUUCCCAGCACCCUGCAGUGGGCAGGGAAUGGGGGACACAGCCGAAGCAGUCCUGCCUGUGACACCACAGCUUUAAUGCCCUUCUCUCUUUCCUACCUACAGCAGAACUGGGGGGUUCUCAGACAUCCUUGUAAAGAGUUCACACGCCUGCAGAGAUUUGAAUUUGCGGUCAGUGGAGCUGGAUGCAGCCACGGUGGGAAUGAGGAGAAGUUGCAUGGCCAUGUGGACACCUGCAGUGCCAGUCCUGAGGUGGGAUCACAGCCCUGCAGCAUCCCAGAAAAGCAAAGUGAGCUUAAGAGUCGCGUAAGACUUGGUUAAUAUGGGACCCUUUUACUCCCCUUUGGUUUUAGAUUCAGAGACAGAUUUAGUUUGAGUUUUCUGACUUUCUUUCCGACAAUGUGCUUCUCUUAACAAUUCCUGUAAUGCACUGAAUCCCUCUCCCUCCCAAAAACUGGGUCUGACGAGGAAUGACGAGCAGAAAUUCCCAUUCCCAGAGUCUGAUUCCCUUUGCAGCCAAGGCAGGGGACGGUAACAUCUCAUUUACCCAGCGGGUUCCCUGCUUUACACCAGAUCAGAGCGGCUGCCAUCAGCCAAAACACACGCAGGGUUUCCAGGGAUGGUGACAGCUCCCGGGAAUCCCACAGCCAGCACGGUGGGUGCCUUUGUGGGUGUCCCAGCCCUGGCAGGAGCUGAUUUCCAAGAGCCCAGAAGCUGGUGCAGGUCAGCAAGGAGGCAGCAAGCUGCUCUCCAGCACGCUCUGAUUUAGGGGUACCACAACCCCAUUAAUUACAUCCUCACCUCGCCUCCCAUCCCUGCUCCAGCAGCUCUGCCAGCCACUUCCCAUCCUUUGGGUGUUGUUCACCAAGUCUUCACCUCCGUGUUAACUGCCUGACAGCAUCUUGUCCCUUCCCUGUCUGUCUGUCUCUGGUGGCCUCAGAGGUCUUCUCUCCGCUCUGGCAGGGCACUGCUGUCCCCCUGUAGCUUGUGAUGAAAGAAAGAUUUGCCAGAGAAGCUUUUUUGUUUUUUCUUUUUUUUUUUUUUAGCUAAUGCAACAGCAUGGUGGAGGAGUGGGAGGGAAGUUUCUGAGCAUGUGAUCCCUUCCUUAGGUCUGAAACAGAAACACUUCAAGGUGUGCAGCAGGAUGGGGAGGCUGCUGGAUUUUACUUUAUGUGAAAUAGGAAAGGACUGGGCCUGUGAAGGGAGCAGCUUUCUUCACUUAAAGGGUGAUCAGGAAUUGCAAGAGUGUGCCCAAGGAAGUGC